CUAAAUACUCCUGACUGACCGAUAGUGAACCAGUACCGUGAGGGAAAGGCGAAAAGAACCCCGGCGAGGGGAGUGAAAAAGAACCUGAAACCGUGUACGUACAAGCAGUGGGAGCACGCUUAGGCGUGUGACUGCGUACCUUUUGUAUAAUGGGUCAGCGACUUAUAUUCUGUAGCAAGGUUAACCGAAUAGGGGAGCCGAAGGGAAACCGAGUCUUAACUGGGCGUUAAGUUGCAGGGUAUAGACCCGAAACCCGGUGAUCUAGCCAUGGGCAGGUUGAAGGUUGGGUAACACUAACUGGAGGACCGAACCGACUAAUGUUGAAAAAUUAGCGGAUGACUUGUGGCUGGGGGUGAAAGGCCAAUCAAACCGGGAGAUAGCUGGUUCUCCCCGAAAGCUAUUUAGGUAGCGCCUCGUGAAUUCAUCUCCGGGGGUAGAGCACUGUUUCGGCAAGGGGGUCAUCCCGACUUACCAACCCGAUGCAAACUGCGAAUACCGGAGAAUGUUAUCACGGGAGACACACGGCGGGUGCUAACGUCCGUCGUGAAGAGGGAAACAACCCAGACCGCCAGCUAAGGUCCCAAAGUCAUGGUUAAGUGGGAAACGAUGUGGGAAGGCCCAGACAGCCAGGAUGUUGGCUUAGAAGCAGCCAUCAUUUAAAGAAAGCGUAAUAGCUCACUGGUCGAGUCGGCCUGCGCGGAAGAUGUAACGGGGCUAAACCAUGCACCGAAGCUGCGGCAGCGACGCUGAUGCGUUGUUGGGUAGGGGAGCGUUCUGUAAGCCUGUGAAGGUGUGCUGUGAGGCAUGCUGGAGGUAUCAGAAGUGCGAAUGCUGACAUAAGUAACGAUAAAGCGGGUGAAAAGCCCGCUCGCCGGAAGACCAAGGGUUCCUGUCCAACGUUAAUCGGGGCAGGGUGAGUCGACCCCUAAGGCGAGGCCGAAAGGCGUAGUCGAUGGGAAACAGGUUAAUAUUCCUGUACUUGGUGUUACUGCGAAGGGGGGACGGAGAAGGCUAUGUUGGCCGGGCGACGGUUGUCCCGGUUUAAGCGUGUAGGCUGGUUUUCCAGGCAAAUCCGGAAAAUCAAGGCUGAGGCGUGAUGACGAGGCACUACGGUGCUGAAGCAACAAAUGCCCUGCUUCCAGGAAAAGCCUCUAAGCAUCAGGUAACAUCAAAUCGUACCCCAAACCGACACAGGUGGUCAGGUAGAGAAUACCAAGGCGCUUGAGAGAACUCGGGUGAAGGAACUAGGCAAAAUGGUGCCGUAACUUCGGGAGAAGGCACGCUGAUAUGUAGGUGAAGUCCCUCGCGGAUGGAGCUGAAAUCAGUCGAAGAUACCAGCUGGCUGCAACUGUUUAUUAAAAACACAGCACUGUGCAAACACGAAAGUGGACGUAUACGGUGUGACGCCUGCCCGGUGCCGGAAGGUUAAUUGAUGGGGUCAGCGCAAGCGAAGCUCUUGAUCGAAGCCCCGGUAAACGGCGGCCGUAACUAUAACGGUCCUAAGGUAGCGAAAUUCCUUGUCGGGUAAGUUCCGACCUGCACGAAUGGCGUAAUGAUGGCCAGGCUGUCUCCACCCGAGACUCAGUGAAAUUGAACUCGCUGUGAAGAUGCAGUGUACCCGCGGCAAGACGGAAAGACCCCGUGAACCUUUACUAUAGCUUGACACUGAACAUUGAGCCUUGAUGUGUAGGAUAGGUGGGAGGCUUAGAAGUGUGGACGCCAGUCUGCAUGGAGCCGACCUUGAAAUACCACCCUUUAAUGUUUGAUGUUCUAACGUUGACCC
rnacentral:rRNA from 1 species